UCGCAAUGGGCGAAAGCCUGACGGAGCAAUACCGCGUGAGGGAGGAAGGCUCUUGGGUUGUAAACCUCUUUUCUCAGGGAAUAAAAAAAUGAAGGUACCUGAGGAAUAAGCAUCGGCUAACUCCGUGCCAGCAGCCGCGGUAAUACGGAGGAUGCAAGCGUUAUCCGGAAUGAUUGGGCGUAAAGGGUCCGCAGGUGGCAUUGUAAGUCUGCUGUUAAAGAGUUUGGCUCAACCAAAUAAAAGCAGUGGAAACUACAAAGCUAGAGUAUGGUCGGGGCAGAGGGAAUUCCUGGUGUAGCGGUGAAAUGCGUAGAUAUCAGGAAGAACACCGGUGGCGAAGGCGCUCUG
rnacentral:rRNA from 1 species